rnacentral:lncRNA from 1 species
GUAGCGAAGCAUUUUGUCCAGCGCGCUAGCGAUUCUGCCACCUCGCUUCCUUAAAAUGUGAGUGAGAUGCUUUCAUCACGUAUGCCUCCCAAGCGGUUACCCAUCUAAGUACUCGGUAGGCUCGACAUAGCUUAACUUCGGUGAUCACACGAAAACCAGUGCAUUCAACGUGAUAUGGCUGUAAUAAAUAUAAGUUUUAAAACAUUUUUCGAUUUUCUAAAGGUGGUAGAUCAGUGAUUAGUGAGUUGUUCGCCUUGAUAUAAUUAUUUCUAUAGUUAUCCGCUAGGCGUAAAGGUUUUUUUUUUUUCAAUAGACCUAAUAUUGGGGGUGUGGGGCGAUAAGUAUCUACCAUCGAUCUCUGUUUUUGAUGGAUCGUUAUUUUAUUGAUACCGAAAGGUAAAAAUUGACAUCGGCAGGAUUUGAUCUCAGAACAUAAAAGAACCUGAAAAAACACUGCAGCACCUAAUUUCGUUUCGGUAUUUAAAGUAAACCAUUACAUAUUUUAUAAAUUCCCCAUUUUCAUAGUUUUCUGUUUGAGUUAUUUCUUCUGUCAGAUGUUCUUUGAUCUCGAUUAAUUUCUAUUUUUGUAUCAAAACUGCCUGGGAAAGGACUUUAUGGAAGAUAACUAGUGAGAUUAAAUUGUGAGUAAAGUAAUAAUUCCUAAGCAAUGAAAGGUAAACAUUUACAUUGGCUGCAUUUGAUCUCAGAACAUAAAACAGCCAGAAGAAACACCGCAUCAUCUAAUUUCGUUUCGGUAUUUAAAGAAAACCAUUACAUAUUUUAUAAAUUCCCCAUUUUCAUAGUUUUCUGUUUGAGCUAUUUCUUCUGUCAGAUGUUCUUUGAUCUCGUCUAAAAUUAUUGACUUUUCUCGAUUAAUUUCUAUUUUUGUAUCAAAACUGCCUGGGAAAGGACUUUAUGGAAGAUAACUAGUGAGAUUAAAUUAUGACUAGCAGUGGAUGUAACACACUACCGGCAAGGGACAUAUCUCUCGAUGGUCGACUGGGCCAGGCUGGAUUGCCGUUUGGAGCGAACUGAGAGCAGAUUAUAAAAUGACAUCUGCAUCACAGAAUUUUUAUAUAAACAAUGUCAUUCGUAUUGAACAUCUUAAAGACUGAGCAAAGAUGUUAUACAUAACACGUAUAACCCUGUUUCUAUAAAUAUAUACGGAAUUAUUGCAAAAUAUAUCUGCUGAACUGAAAGAAGUAAUCACAUCACUGAAA